AGCGAUUUUCUUGCCUCAGCCUUCCCAGUAGCUGGGAUUACAGGCAUAACUGAAGGUGAAAGGACAGAAUCACCAUGUGUUACUGGCACAGAUGCAUCGGCUAGUGAAGAAAGAAGACAUUCAAACUAGUCCCGCUCUGUCGCCCAGUCUGGAGUGCAGCAGCGCCAUCAUAGCUCACUGCCACCUAGAAGCCGGGGUGAAGCAAUCCUCCUCCAUCAGCCUUCAGAGUAGCUGGGACUACCUGCGCGGCCCACCACACCCGGCUAAUCUUUGUGGUUUUUGUUUUGUUUUCCGUUCUGGGUUUCCGUCGGGCGCAGUGGCUCAGGCCUGCAAUCCCAGCACUUUGGAAGGCAGAGGUGGGCGGAUCACCCGAGGUCGGAGACCAGCCUGACCAACAUGAAGAAAUCCCGUCUCUACUAAAAAAAAGAAAAAAACUACAAAAUUAGCCGGAUAUGGUGGCUCAUGCCUGUAAUCCCAGCUACUAGGGAGGCCCAGGCAGGAGAAUCACCUAAAUCCGGGAGGCCGAGGUUGCGGUGGGCAAAGAUCACACCAUUGCACUCCAGCCUGGACAACAAGGGUGAAACUCCGUCUCAAAACAGAGACCGGGUUUCACCAUGUUGCCCAGGCGGUCUGGAACUCCUAGGCUCAAGCGAUCUGCCACACUCGGCCUUCCAAAGUCCUGGGAUCACAAGGGGGAGGCACCACGCCAGGCAGAUCUAUUCCUUUCUGGUUACUAAAUUGGACCGGGGGCGCGGUGGCUCACGCCUGCAAUCCCAGCACCCAGGGAGGCGGAGGCGGGCGUAUCACUCGAGGUCAGGAGCUCGAGAUCAGCCUGACCAACACGGAGAAACCCCGUCUGUACCAAAAAAAUAAAACCAAAAUUAGCUGGCAUGGUGGCUCAUGCCUGCAAUCCCAGACACUCAGGAGGCUGAGGCAGGAGAACCACCUAAACCCGGGAGGUGGAGGCCGCGGUGAGUCGAGACCACGCCACUGCACUCCAGCCUGCAAAACGAGCGAAACUCCACUCAAAAAAAAAAAAAAAAAAAAGACAGUGUUUCACCACGUUGCCCAGGCCGGUCUGGAAGUCCUAGGCUCAAUCGAUCGCCGCGCUCGGCCGUCCACAGUACUGGGAUCACAAGCAUGAGCUACCACGCCAGGCCGAUCUAUUCCUUUUUGGUUACUAAAUUGGACCGGAGGCGCGGUGGCUCACGCCUGCAAUCCCAGCACCCAGGGAGGCGGAGGCGGGUGGAUCACCCGAGGUCAGGAGCUUGAGAUCAGCCCGACCAACACGGAGAAACCCCGUCUGUACAAAAAAAAAAACACCAAAAUUAGCUGGCAUGGUGGCUCAUGCCUGCAAUCCCAGCCACUCAGGAGGCUUAGGCAGGAGAACCACCUAACCGGGAGGUGGAGGCCGCGGUGAGUCGAGACCGGAAAACACUCUAGCCUGGAAAACAAGAGCGAAACUCCGCUCAAAAAAAAAAAAAAAAAAAAAAAAAAAGACCGUGUUUCACCAUGUCGUCCAGGCUGGUCUGGAACUCCUAGAACCUGUAGAUGUUACCUCAUUUGGAAAAAGCAUAUUUUCAGGUAUGAUUAAGUUAAGGAUCUUGAGGAGAGAUUAUCCUGGAUUGUCUCCGUGGGCAUUAAAUCCUGGCACAUAUAUCCUUAUAAGAGGGAGAUAAAGGAGAUUUAACUUCAGACAGAAGAGAAGGAGGCCCUGUGACCAAGAAGGCAGAGCCUGGAGUGGUGGAGCUGCAAGCCAAUGAAUGCCAGCAGCCAUCAGAAGCUGCGCAAGUCAAAGGAUGGAUUUUCCCCUCAGCCUCUGAGAGCACUGGCUCUGCUGAGACCUAGAUUUCAGCCCAGUGAUACUGAUUUUGGACUUCUGAUAUCCAAAACUGUGAGAAAAUAAAUUUCUGUUGUUUUAAGUCACCACAUUUUUGGUAAUUUGCUCUAACAGCCACAGGAAAGUAACAUACAUGCCUACCUGGGUCCAGUUGUGUCCUGUGACUCCUGCUUUCCUGGGACAGGCAGGCUGCUCCGUGCCUCCUGGCCAUCCUACUGGGUGCUGGACGCUGUAGGCUACUCCAUGCCUGUUGGCCAUUCCCUUUGGUGCUGGACAGCACUCACAUUGUGAAAUCCACUGGCCCUGUGAAAAACACCUGGAAAUGUUACCAGGAGAGGGGUUAGUUCUCUUUUUGGCAACCCAUGUUAUUGCUUAUGGCUUAAUAUCUGUGCCUCCAAGAUCCCUUCUCUCUGCCUUCAUCGAUGCCAGGAAAGCAGUCACCUUUUGCCUUUCUUUGCUUCUCAGCAAGUGGCAUGUCUCCAUGUCACUUUAAGCAUCAAGCACACGGAGCCCAAUAAGAUGCUGAAAAGUGUCUGCCUACAAGGUUACAAGGCGGUGGAGACAUUCUGAGCCGGUAACUGCAGGGCUCAGUAAAACCGCUACAGGAAAUCUCAAGUUCAAAAUGCUGAAGUGAAAAAUGGGUGAUCACAACGAAGGGAAACACAAACCCCUUCUUUUAAAAACAUUAUGGUGAUAAGGCACAACAUAAAAUUUACCAUAUUAGCCACUUGUAAGUAUACAGUGCAGUAGUGUUAAAAAUAUACAUGUUGAGUAACGAGUUUCUAGAACUUGCUUCUCUUGGAGAACUGAAACUAUAGCCACUAUACAACAACUCCCCAUUUCUCUAUCCCCUGGCUUAUGGAAACAACCGCUCUAUUUUCUGUUUCUAUGAGUUUGACUAAUUUCGAACCUAAUGUAAGAGAAAUUGUACAGCAUUUGUCUUUGUGUGAUGGGCUGAUUUCAAUUAGUGUAAUGUUUUCAAGGUUCAUCUAUAUUGCAGCAUGUGACAGGGCUUCUUUCUUUUUUAAGGCUGAUAAUUUUAUAGUAUUCCGUUGCAUGGAUAGACCACAUUUAUUUAUUCAUUUAUUUAUUUAUUUAUUUACUUAUUUAUUUAUUGAGACAAUCUCACUCUGUUGCCCAGGCUGGAGUGCGGUGGCAUGAUCAUGGCUCACUGCAGUCUGAAUCUCACAUUCUCAAGCGAUCCUGCCGCCUCAGCCUCCUGAGUAGCUGGGACUACAGGCACAUGACACCAUGCCUGGAUAUUCGUCUUUCUGUGUAACUGGUUGAGAAACAGGGGAGUAACAGUGAAGAAACGGUCUUAGAAUAAAUCUGGUGACAGCAGAAGAGAAUAUGAGACAGAUUGUGCUCACAGAGCCUUGAAGAGUGUGACAGUAUUUGAGGGCCACGCUGUUGUCUUAGAGUGAAGUGAGGAGAACCUGCACUGGUUUGGUAGUCAUGGGAAUGGAAGGAGGAAAGAAAUGUGAAAGCUCAUCGGUGGCAGAGUCAAAAUGGCUUGGUCUUUGUAGUCAACGAUUAAGUGAGAAGGAGGAAUUACUGGCUGACUUAGAAGAAGUAAAAAAUGUGAAAUACCGAUAAAACACAAAUCUCGUGAUUUUAGUCAGCGUAAAGACUAAGCAUUGUGUGAUUCUAGAUAUAUUAUUAAGCAGUUUUGUUCCAGUAUUUUAUAUCCCAUAUCUUCUAGCUAUGACCCUAUUUCUUUGUUUCUUGACAUAGACAAACAUUUUUUAAACUAAGAGCUUUAUUGUGAUACAGUUUUUGUAUGAUAAGCCUCACCCUUCAAGUGUACAGUUCAGUGGUUUUUAGUAUAUUCAGAGUUAUGCAGCCAUUACCACUCCCUAAUUUCAGAACAUUUUCAUCUCCCCAAAAAGAACCCCGUACCCACUAGCAGUCACUCCCUGUAGCUCUCUCCCCCACCAUUGAUCCUGGCAACCUCUGAUCUAACUUCUAUCUCUGUAGAUUUGCCUAUCCUGGGCAUUUCAUAUAAAUAGAAUCAUACAACAGUGGCAUUUUGUGACUGAUUUUUCUUUACAGUGAUUAUAAAUCAAAUGCCUGAAGACGCUAAGCUUAGGAUAGUGUUUGCUGUACAACUUUGAUAACUGAACUUUUGUAAAGCUGAAAAUGUGACUGUGUCUGUAUAUGUGGCAUAUUAUCCUUAGAUGAUCCUUACUUCGAUUAUUAAGAAUUUUUUCCCCUAGUAAUCUUCAACUGUCUCAAUAUUCAGCAGGAACCCCUUGGAGACAAAGAUCAGUACGAAUUUGGAACACCUAUUGACAAAAUGAAUGUAAUUUAAUUUAGUACAGUAGUAAAGUCAACCACUUUUAGGUGUUGAUGCUGCUGAAAGUGUAUAUUAAGGAAAAACUUACUUACCUUACUUUUUGUGGAGGUGCUAGAACUACUUCUGUCUUGUGUUUAGAUUUCAAGAAACCUUUGCAUGGGCAUUAUGUGGUUGCACAAAUGUACUUCGUUUUGACCUGAAAAUGCAAAAACUUCCUUUCUUCCCACUUUCUGAGACUCUGCAACCUUAAAGGAAGAGUGGGGUUCUUUAAAGGAAAGGUGGUGGUGGUUGGGUCAUGGGUAACAAUGUCUACUGUGUACUUCCUUUCCCAAAACAAGUCCCUGUCUACCGUCAGCAUUUCCAAAACUUGAAGGUCAAGUGUGGUGUUAACUCAUGAACUAAUGACUAGACUUUGAGCGGUUGUGGAAGCAAAAUCUCAGUGAGUGCCUGGAUGUUCUAAUUCUGUUAAGUCAGUGAGUGCAUAUUCUGUACAAUACUCUCUUAGCCCAGUGGCAGGUUUAAGGAGUGGGAGAGAGAUUUCUAUGUUUCGGAAAUCAAAUACACAAAGAAUAAAAAUUUUUAAUCCCAUGAA